CCCUACGGGGCGCCCCAGGGAUUCCACAGGCGUUUCGUGGAGUACAAGGCCCAUCCGGACUACCGGGACAAACAGCGUUAUCCAUCCCUCUACUGGACGUUUAUCUUCAUGUCGGGCCUCCUGAUUUUCACCUUUUCGUUUUUCUGGGUCCACACGGCUCUCUGGUGGCGGAAAAGUUACUGGGAAAAACAUACCCGGGAAAAAGGCGGUCAGCUCCCCGAAACAUGCUUCAAAUCCCCUGACGGGUAUCAGCACGUCGAGCGCUUCUCUUUCCGGGAAAGGAUCAUGCAUCUUUUCCUGAUUCUUUCAUUUUUUACGCUCGUCACCACCGGUUUCCCGCUGAAAUACCAUUACACCGCCUGGGCCAAGAUCCUCAUCGGUUUGCGGGGGGGC
rnacentral:rRNA from 1 species